GACGAACGCUGGCGGCGUGCUUAACACAUGCAAGUCGAACGGAAAGGCCCUGCUUUUGUGGGGUGCUCGAGUGGCGAACGGGUGAGUAACACGUGAGUAACCUGCCCUUGACUUUGGGAUAACUUCAGGAAACUGGGGCUAAUACCGGAUAGGAGCUCCUGCUGCAUGGUGGGGGUUGGAAAGUUUCGGCGGUUGGGGAUGGACUCGCGGCUUAUCAGCUUGUUGGUGGGGUAGUGGCUUACCAAGGCUUUGACGGGUAGCCGGCCUGAGAGGGUGACCGGCCACAUUGGGACUGAGAUAGGGCCCAGACUCCUACGGGAGGCAGCAGUGGGGAAUAUUGCACAAUGGGCGGAAGCCUGAUGCAGCAACGCCGCGUGCGGGAUGACGGCCUUCGGGUUGUAAACCGCUUUCGCCUGUGACGAAGCGUGAGUGACGGUAAUGGGUAAAGAAGCACCGGCUAACUACGUG
rnacentral:rRNA from 1 species